GACGAACGCUGGCGGCGUGCUUAACACAUGCAAGUCGAACGGAAAGGCCCUGCUUUUGUGGGGUGCUCGAGUGGCGAACGGGUGAGUAACACGUGAGUAACCUACCCUUGACUUUGGGAUAACUUCAGGAAACUGAGGCUAAUACCGGAUAGGAGCUCCUGCUGCAUGGUGGGGGUUGGAAAGUUUCGGCGGUUGGGGAUGGACUCGCGGCUUAUCAGCUUGUUGGUGGGGUAGUGGCUUACCAAGGCUUUGACGGGUAGCCGGCCUGAGAGGGUGACCGGCCACAUUGGGACUGAGAUACGGCCCAGACUCCUACGGGAGGCAGCAGUGGGGAAUAUUGCACAAUGGGCGGAAGCCUGAUGCAGCAACGCCGCGUGCGGGAUGACGGCCUUCGGGUUGUAAACCGCUUUCGCCUGUGACGAAGCGUGAGUGACGGUAAUGGGUAAAGAAGCACCGGCUAACUACGUGCCAGCAGCCGCGGUGAUACGUAGGGUGCGAGCGUUGUCCGGAUUUAUUGGGCGUAAAGGGCUCGUAGGUGGUUGAUCGCGUCGGAAGUGUAAUCUUGGGGCUUAACCCUGAGCGUGCUUUCGAUACGGGUUGACUUGAGGAAGGUAGGGGAGAAUGGAAUUCCUGGUGGAGCGGUGGAAUGCGCAGAUAUCAGGAGGAACACCAGUGGCGAAGGCGGUUCUCUGGGCCUUUCCUGACGCUGAGGAGCGAAAGCGUGGGGAGCGAACAGGCUUAGAUACCCUGGUAGUCCACGCUGUAAACGGUGGGUACUAGGUGUGGGGUCCAUUCCACGGGUUCCGUGCCGUAGCUAACGCUUUAAGUACCCCGCCUGGGGAGUACGGCCGCAAGGCUAAAACUCAAAGGAAUUGACGGGGCCCCGCACAAGCGGCGGAGCAUGCGGAUUAAUUCGAUGCAACGCGUAGAACCUUACCUGGGUUUGACAUGGAUCGGGAGUGCUCAGAGAUGGGUGUGCCUCUUUUGGGGUCGGUUCACAGGUGGUGCAUGGCUGUCGUCAGCUCGUGUCGUGAGAUGUUGGGUUAAGUCCCGCAACGAGCGCAACCCUUGUUCACUGUUGCCAGCACGUUAUGGUGGGGACUCAGUGGAGACCGCCGGGGUCAACUCGGAGGAAGGUGGGGAUGACGUCAAGUCAUCAUGCCCCUUAUGUCCAGGGCUUCACGCAUGCUACAAUGGCUGGUACAGAGAGUGGCGAGCCUGUGAGGGUGAGCGAAUCUCGGAAAGCCGGUCUCAGUUCGGAUUGGGGUCUGCAACUCGACCUCAUGAAGUCGGAGUCGCUAGUAAUCGCAGAUCAGCAACGCUGCGGUGAAUACGUUCCCGGGGCU
rnacentral:rRNA from 1 species